UGAAAUCUCACCAGGCCCGGACACUGGAAGGAUUGACAGAUUGAUAGCUCUUUCUUGAUUCGGUGCGUGGUGGUGCAUGGCCGUUCUUAGUUGGUGGAGUGAUUUGUCUGGUUAAUUCCGUUAACGAACGAGACCUUAACCGGCUAAAUAGUCACACGAUUCUCGAAUCGUGACUGACUUCUUAGAGGGACUGUUGGUGUUUAACCAAAGUCAGGAAGGCAAUAA
rnacentral:rRNA from 1 species